AUUGAACGCUGGCGGCAGGCCUAACACAUGCAAGUCGAACGAGUGGCGGACGGGUGAGUAAUGUCUGAGAAACUGCCCGAUGGAGGGGGAUAACUACUGGAAACAGUAGCUAAUACCGCAUACCAUCGGAUGUGCCCAGCUGGGAUUAGCUAGUGGGUGGGGUAACGGCUCACCUAGGCGACGACCCCUAGCGGGUCUGAGAGGAUGACCGCCAACACGGGAACUGAGACACGGUCCAGAUCCCUACGGGAGGCAGAAGUGGGGAAUAUUGCACAAGGGGCGCAAGCCUGAUGCAGACAUGCGGCGUGUAUGAAGAAGGCCUUGGGGUUGUAAAGUACUUUCAGCGGGGAGGCGUUACUCGCAGAAGAAGCACCGGCUAACUCCGUGCCAGCAGCCGCGGUAAUUC
rnacentral:rRNA from 1 species